CGCUGGCGGCGUGCCUAACACAUGCAAGUCGAGCGAGGAGAUCCUUCGGGAUGAUCCUAGCGGCGGACGGGUGAGUAACACGUGGGCAACCUGCCUCAUAGAGAGGAAUAGCCUUCCGAAAGGGAGAUUAAUACCUCAUAACAUUGCAGUUUCGCAUGGAACAGCAAUUAAAGGAGUAAUCCGCUAUGAGAUGGGCCCCGCGGCGCAUUAGCUAGUUGGUGAGGUAAUGGCUCACCAAGGCGACGAUGCGUAGCCGACCUGAGAGGGUGAUCGGCCACAUUGGGACUGAGACACGGCCCAGACUCCUACGGGAGGCAGCAGUGGGGAAUAUUGCACAAUGGGGGAAACCCUGAUGCCAGCAACGCCGCGUGAGUGAUGACGGCCUUCGGGUUGUAAAGCUCUGUCUUCAGGGACGAUAAUGACGGUACCUGAGGAGGAAGCCACGGCUAACUACGUGCCAGCCGCGGC
rnacentral:rRNA from 1 species